CUCUGCCAGAACUCUCACGGGCAACCCGAGAUGACUUACAACAGGGAGAUAAAUCAAGACGGGUCUGGUUGCAGCUGAUAGAAGAAUCCAAGAACUACUACAUGAAGUAUUGCCCUCUGCUUGAUGAAAACCCUUAUGGGGCAUACAAGAUUAUUGGAGAGAAGAUGUUAGCUGCUUACCCUAGUAUCGAGAGGGAAGGGAAACAUAAAUGGAGCCAGUAUGCGAAAGCACUCAGUCAAAGUAUACGCACAGAGCGUUUUAGACGUAAAAGAAAAAGCCUUCCUGUAACUCCACAAGAACAACAGCUGCCCCCUAAAAGGUUCACUGUGGGAAAGCACAUAGUUACAGACGCCAGUAAUGCUCUUCCAGAAGAAGAGUUUGAAAAGCAUGUUCUUGAAAUCCAGAAGGUUUGGAAUACUUCAGCAUGCAGUAGCUCACAUGUAGAUAUGCUGCUCAGGGAAUCCUACUGCAACAGAAGACAAUGGUUGCCAUAUCUACCAAAUGGGAAAUUGGCACCAAUACUGGAGAAAUUCCCAUGUUUUCAAGAGUCAAGCUAUGUACUGCGUGAAGUGGAACGCAUGUUGCUAUGUGAAGUAUCAACAUGGAAGGACAGAUUGGAGAAAAUUGUUGAGGCCCUGAGCGAUCAAGUACCUUCUAGUGCAUGUAACAAUGAU